rnacentral:rRNA from 1 species
AUUAGAUCACGGUCAGCAUGCUAUCCGUAACCCAACACCAAUUAGAGAUCAGGCGGCUAGCCCCGAAGGGUAUCCGUUGCAAUCCUCGACCCCAAACAUCACAUCUAUCAAGGGCUAUAACACUCCCGAAGGAGCUACCUUCCCCCAAUUAUUUUAUGACAUUCAAAAUCGACGUUGACCUGCCAAGCGAAGAAGUGCACCCAGAGUUUCCCCUAAGUUGAUUCCCACCGGCAUGACUGACUUCAAUCGUUUCCCUUUCAAA